rnacentral:rRNA from 1 species
AUGAACGCUAGCUACAGGCUUAACACAUGCAAGUCGAGGGGCAGCAUUUUAGUUUGCUUGCAAACUGAAGAUGGCGACCGGCGCACGGGUGAGUAACACGUAUCCAACCUGCCGAUAACUCCGGGAUAGCCUUUCGAAAGAAAGAUUAAUACCGGAUGGCAUACGAAUAUCGCAUGAUAUUUUUAUUAAAGAAUUUCGGUUAUCGAUGGGGAUGCGUUCCAUUAGUUUGUUGGCGGGGUAACGGCCCACCAAGACUACGAUGGAUAGGGGUUCUGAGAGGAAGGUCCCCCACAUUGGAACUGAGACACGGUCCAAACUCCUACGGGAGGCAGCAGUGAGGAAUAUUGGUCAAUGGGCGCGAGCCUGAACCAGCCAAGUAGCGUGAAGGAUGAAGGCUCUAUGGGUCGUAAACUUCUUUUAUAUGGGAAUAAAGUUUUCCACGUGUGGAAUUUUGUAUGUACCAUAUGAAUAAGGAUCGGCUAACUCCGUGCCAGCAGCCGCGGUAAUACGGAGGAUCCGAGCGUUAUCCGGAUUUAUUGGGUUUAAAGGGAGCGUAGGUGGAUUGUUAAGUCAGUUGUGAAAGUUUGCGGCUCAACCGUAAAAUUGCAGUUGAAACUGGGAGUCUUGAGUACAGUAGGGGUGGGCGGAAUUCGUGGUGUAGCGGUGAAAUGCUUAGAUAUCACGAAGAACUCCGAUUGCGAAGGCAGCUAUCUAAACGAUAAUUGACGCUGAUGCACGAAAGCGUGGGGAUCAAACAGGAUUAGAUACCCUGGUAGUCCACGCCGUAAACGAUGAGUGCUAAGUGUUAGGGGGUUUCCGCCCCUUAGUGCUGCAGCUAACGCAUUAAGCACUCCGCCUGGGGAGUACGACCGCAAGGUUGAAACUCAAAGGAAUUGACGGGGGCCCGCACAAGCGGAGGAGCAUGUGGUUUAAUUCGAUGAUACGCGAGGAACCUUACCCGGGCUUAAAUUGCAACAGAAUAUAUUGGAAACAGUAUAGCCGUAAGGCUGUUGUGAAGGUGCUGCAUGGUUGUCGUCAGCUCGUGCCGUGAGGUGUCGGCUUAAGUGCCAUAACGAGCGCAACCCUUAUCUUUAGUUACUAACAGGUUAUGCUGAGGACUCUAGAGAGACUGCCGUCGUAAGAUGUGAGGAAGGUGGGGAUGACGUCAAAUCAGCACGGCCCUUACGUCCGGGGCUACACACGUGUUACAAUGGGGGGUACAGAAGGCGGCUACCUGGUGACAGGAUGCUAAUCCCAAAAACCUCUCUCAGUUCGGAUCGAAGUCUGCAACCCGACUUCGUGAAGCUGGAUUCGCUAGUAAUCGCGCAUCAGCCAUGGCGCGGUGAAUACGUUCCCGGGCCUUGUACACACCGCCCGUCAAGCCAUGAAAGCCGGGGGUACCUGAAGUACGUAACCGCAAGGAGCGUCCUAGGGUAAAACUGGUAAUUGGGGCU